rnacentral:lncRNA from 1 species
GCUUGGGGACAAAGUAACUUGGAGCUAAAGUAACGACUAACUUUUGUUGGAGAAGCAUCUUGCUUACUAGUGAAGUAAAGCAACUUUGUCAGUGGUGUGACCUACUGAUGGAAUAACUUGUCGGUGAAGCAUAUGGCAACUAACUCUAUUGGUGAAGCAUCUUUGCUAACAACUUUGUUGGUGAUGAGGUGGCCUGUCUAUGGACAGCUGAUAGCAUCUAGUUGGUAGAGCAUCU